rnacentral:lncRNA from 1 species
AUUUGCUUUCCAUUUUUCAGAGGCUGCUUUAAAGACAGGCUAAAUUAUUAACCAGAGGCACUAACAUUUGGAAAACAAAAAGCUCAAGGACGUACAUACAGUAGCUCUAAACCUGCAGUGGUGUGGGGGAUGUUUCUUGACUGAUAUUGGAAGUGUAGAAUUAGCAUAAUCAGCAGUCAUUACUCCAGAGUCUCUGGACUCUUUGAUACUCUUGCUGUGAGCAGAAUGUGCUUCAACAUGCUGUGUUCCACUCAUUGAGAAAAUGAAAGAUUUGAAGAGACUGUGGAUUAAUGAUCUCCAGUUGGCCAGUUUCACUUGUGUAGGUAACAGCAGAUGGCAGAAGAGGGGCAGUCUGACAAAAUGGUGUCUGACAUGGAAGUGCGGAUGAAGCAAAGGUGUGUCACUGACUUCCUUCAUGUGGAAAAAAUGCCACCCACUGACAUUCAUCAGUGCUUGCUGAAUGCUUAUGGAGACCAAAAAGUGGAGAGCAUGUUCCCUAGCCUCACAGACCUCAGAUCUGUAGUUGAAGCACUGGAGCUGAAACCGUAUCAUUGGCACUGGGACAACUAGGCUGGACUUGGAUAAUUCCGGAAUCCUCACUGCAAGACCUGAUACAUCUUCUCAGAUGGGACAGUUAAGCAGUUUCACUAUUACUUGCUCUCCUUCUUCCCUAUUCCCCUGUGGUUGAUUCACACAAAAAUAAAUUAUCUUCAUCAGCUAUACUUUUCAUGCACAGCUCUUGGUCUAGGCUGCUGGUUUAAAAGAUCUGAAUUAAAAUCUAUUUACUUCCAGUGUCACGUUGAAAUACUGGUUUAUUUGCAGGAAAUGUUUCAUUUUGUUUUUCUUUUAGGAUUCUUUUUUCUUUCACUUCCUUUAUUUUAAGAUAUAUUUUACCACUUCCUAUUUCAGCCUUUGUAUAAGUACUUGUUGAUAAUCUAUUAUUUUUUCUAAUUAUAUUUUUAUAUCUCCUUUAUUCAGUGUACUGCUGAAGGAAAAGCAGAACAAUAAUGAAAGUAAAUGAGCUAUAUGGUUGAGAUGAAAAUUAAAUAGCCUUUCUGAAUUUGUCAGUUUUCUACAUAGUUUUUAUUUGAGAGUUUAUUAUAAAUGCAACCAUGCUGAAUUGAAGUUGUAAAGACUUGUUCUGCCUUUCCCUACUUCCUUUGUGCUUGCUUUUGUGGCUGUGGUGAAGCAUGAAGUAUUCAAUUUAAUAAUUACAUUUAAAAGAAAGUUAAUUAUACAAAGCUGCUCUGUGCCACAUCCACAUAAAUACAUUUAGUUGUCAAAUUUGCUGAAAUUUGAAUCUCCCUGGAAGAGCGUUAGUAUUACAAUUUCGCACACUUCAACAGCAGCUAUGUAAAUACUCAACUCUGAAAUCAAAUGCUAAUUUUUCCCAAGGAUUAGAUAAGUCAUGUAGCUAAUAUUUUUGUUGACUUUUAUCCCAAUAAGAUUUGCACUGUCCUACUUAUAAUGUGAAAAAAUAGAUUUCUGGUUAGGACACUUGGCAAUCACGGGGAUGUUGCAGUUCAGAUCCAGUUGUUGAUGUGUUCUCAUACAUUUUCAGUCACAUCAUGUUUUUAAAACAUGCUCAGUCAUAUUUUUAGGAUAUGUUGAUUUUUUUUUGUGUUUGGAGGUGAAGACAAUAUUUUACACAGUCAUAUAUACUGUAAGCUGCUAAAUAGCAUAUCCUUUUAAUGUGACAAAUAUCUAUACUGUUAGCUAACAUGGACAGUGCAAUCUCAUUGUGGGAGUUAAGUGAUGAGAUGAAAUAGCCCAUGAUCUUGGAAAUGUGGGUUACAGUUUCUUAGGUAUUACAGACUAUAUCACUAAUGAAGCAAUUUGUUCUGUGUCCACUCACAUUUCAUUUGCUGCCAUCAACAAUUAAGAGAUGUCGUAGUAAGGUCAUCGUAGAUUAACACCUUGUCUUUGCAAAGAUCUCAUUAAAAUAGAGAGGAAUUCUAAUUCCUAGCCAAGAUAAUGUUAAUUUGAUGAGAGAAUAAAUAUUGUGGAAGCAAUUUGUGCAAGAGAAAUGAAUGUUAAAAGUAUUAUUCUCUUUUCAAUAAAAGAAGUAAUUCUUACAUGGAAAGAUAGCCUAUUGAAAAAAAUAGUCAGACAUGUUACUGCAGGAAAUGGUUAGAUACCUUGGCCUGGUUAAGGAAGCAUGUCAUGUUGUCCGAGAUUUGCACAGAUGUGCAGAGCCAUAAAUAAAUUGAACAGAAAAUAAGAUUUCUCCCUUUGCUGGUUGCCAGUGUUACAGUUAAACUACAAAGAAAGUAAUUUCUCCAACCAUCAUACAUUUACUUCCCAGUCAUCCUCGAAUGCUUGUAACAGUGAAGGGCGUUGUAAUUGACAUUUCAUUCUAAUACACUGGCUGCCUUGCCUGAAUUUUGGCUGGUUGAUAAGGCUCUUGGAAAUCCAGAGUCUCAUCAUGUCCUGAACAAUUUCAAUCCAGCCCUAUGGCAAUCUAAGUGCUUAACCAGCAAAACAGGAAAGACAAUAUUUGGAGAUGCUACCUUUCAAAAUGCACACAGCAGAGUAACUGAAAUAAUCAAAUUGCUCCUGAAUAAUCCUUUUUCAAAUUUGAAAGCAGAAUGAAGAAAAGAUUUAAAAGAAUAUACAUGUCAAUUUAAGCAAAUAAAAUGUGCAGACAUGAAUUCAUCACAACUGUAUUGUCACUGACGUUGCAUUUCAGAUAAAUUUGAUGAUAAUAUCACAUUUUUUUAAAGGAGGAAAAAAAUCAAUAAUUUUGUCUACAGACUUUGCAUUAUAUUCCAGUUACUUGAAAGAAAAUGUCAUGUGCAUCAACUCAUUCUUCAGGAUGUACUUUCUGAAAAGAUGUGGAUAAUAUUACAUAGACUAAGGGGAACACAGCUACGUUUGAGCUGCUUUAAGGCAAUGGUCCAUGUGCAUGCCCUACCAUGUGGAACCCUGUUGAGAAUCAGUUUAUUCAGAUGGCAGCAGAGGGAAGGUCUGACAGAAUGCUGUUUGACAUGGGAGCAUGCAUGAAAUGUGGAAUUCCUCCAUGUGGGAAAAAUUGCACCCACUGAUAUUCAUUGACACUUGCUGAACAUAUAUGGAGACCAAACAGUGGAUGUGAACACAGUGAAGUGAUGUGUGGUGUUUCAGCAGUAGCAACAGUGAUGUGAAAGACAAGCCAUAUUCCAGAUGGCCAUGAAGAUUUUUAUGAGCACAACAUUCAGGCCUUUGUUCAUUGCUAGUGAUGAAUAUGUACAAAAAUAGUAUCCUGUAGCUGAGAAUUUUGUCUGUCAGUGUUAUUGUACUCUUUGUGUCUGUUAUAGUUUCCAUGGAAAUAAAUAGGAGGCAUUACUUUUGGAACUACCAACAGAGAUAACCAGCUAUAAGCCAAAUUUCUAACUUUCAAAUGACUAAAUUUAGGUUAGAUGUAGUCCAUGCAUAACUGUAUUUUCUUAUUCUAUGAAGAAUGUAAGAAUGGCUACAGUAGUUUAUAUCCUAAGUCUCAACUGAUGGCUAGUAUUGCUUGUCUAGAAAAGAGUUUAUGAUAAGGGAAAUAAUAUGUCCGCAUUGUUCCCUAUAUGUUUGCAUUCUUCAGUCAUCUGACACUAAGCAUGAUACUCAGUUUGAGAUUUGGUCUUCAUAUCACAUUCAAAUAGGAAAUGCUGAGUGAUUUAAUGUAACUAAUGCAAUCUAAUCUGUAGCCAUUAGACAAAAAUAACAAUUAGACGUGCCACUUUUCUGCAUGGAUAUUACAAAUUUAAGGCCAUCCCUUAUAAAUGAAAAAUGCUACUUCAGAGUGUUUACUGAAAACAUGAGGGCAUUUUUACCACAAGAAAACUACACAGUGAUUGUUAUCUCCAUGUAAAAUCCUAACAGGCAUAAGGUAGAGCUAGUUUUAACCUCAGAGCACUGAGAUAAACCUGAAGAAGUAAAUACAAAGCUGACCUUCACUGACCAUAUCAAGGCAUAGAUAUAGAUAGCUAUUACAUUGUUUGAGAUAUUCUCUUUUUUGUUUUAUUUAUAAUAAAAUACUUCUGUCCUUUAUUUCUCCUUACUUCAGUGAUAUAAUAUGGAUGCUUUUCCAGUUCAGAGGUGAAGUUUUUUUCUCUGCAAAAGAAUCACAAAAUCACAGAAUUGCAGAAAUUGAAAGAGACCUCAAGAGAUCAUCGAGUCCAGCCUGCCCCUGCUAAAGCAGGUACCCUACAAGAGGUCACACAGGUUGCUGAUGAUGUUGAACAAGACCAGACCCAGCACUGACACCUGGGAAGCACCGGUAAUUAAAGGCCUCAAGCCAGAUUCUGUGCUGCUGAUGACAACCCUGUGAGCUCUGACAGUGAAACAGUUCUCAAUCCAGCUCACUGUCCACUCAUCUGUGCCACAUUCUCUACAUUUCAUAACCGGGAUGUUGUGGGAGACGGUGUCAAAUGCCCUACUGAAGUCACGGUACACAACAUCCACUGCUCUCCCUCCAUGUACCCAGACAGUGGUGACAUCAUAGAAGGAUAUCAGGUUGGUCAAGCAUGAUUUCUCCUUGGUGAAUACAUAUUGACAACUCUUGAUAACUUUCUUCUCUUCCAAUUGCUUGGAGAUGGCGUAAAGAGCAAGUUGUCCAUCAUCUUUCUAGGGAUGGAGGUGAGGCUGACUGGCCUGUAGUAUCCCAGAUCCUCCUUCUUGCCCUUUUUGAAGACUGGAGUGACAUUCUUUAUCUUCCAGUCUUCAGACACCUCUCCCAUUUGCCAAGACCUUUCAAAGAUUAGAUAGAUAGCAGUUUAGCAGUCAUCUCUUUUAGUUCUCUCAGCACAUUUGGGUACAUCCCAUCAGGUCCCAUGGAUUUAUGUACAUUGAUUUUUGCUAGAUUCACUCUGACCAGAUCCACCUUGAUCACUGGAAAGUCCACCUUUGCCCAGACUCUCUUACCUCCAGGGUCUGGAAUUCCAGAGGGCUAGUCUCAGCAUAAAAGACUGAAACAAAGAGGGCAUUCAGGAUCUCUGCCUUCUCAGCAUCCCCUGUUACCAAGGCACCCAUCUCAUUUAGUAGGGAACCCACAUUUUCCCUAGUCUUCCUUUUACUGUUGACAUAGUUAAAAAAAAUAUUUCUUCUUAUCCUUUUCCUCCUUUGAAGGGUUUAAUUCCAAGAGGGCCUUAGCCUUCCUACAAUUCCUGAAAACAUUCCUUACUCUUGCCACCUUUUCCCAGUUUCUUACUCUUACUGGCCCAGGAAUGGACCAGUCUUGAGCUUGGAAGAAAUUGUGUUUAAGCACCAACUAGCUCUCAUGGUUCCCCUUUCCUUCUAACACUCUAGCCCAUGGAAUAACUCCAAGUAGGUCUUUGCAGAAGUAGUUAUUUGUCUCUCGUGAAGUCCAGGGUAGCAAUUCUACUUAUUGCUUUGCUUCUCCCACACAAGAUCUUGAACUCCACCAUCUUGUGACUGCUGCAUCCCAAGCUUCUCCCACAUAUCACAUCCCUGACCAGCCCUUCCUUGUUAGUAGAAACAAGUUCAAGUAGCACACCCCUCCUAGUCGGCUCCUCCACUACUUGUGUCAGAAAGCUGUCAUCAAAGCAUUGCAGGAACUGCCUGGACCUUGUGUGACUGUCCAUGCUUCUUAACCAACAAAUAUCAGAAUGGUUGAAAUCCCUGAUAAUAACCAGUGCUGGGGAUUGCAAGGCUUCUUCCAGCUGUUUGUAGAAGGCCUCAUCCACUUCCUUCUCCUGAUCAGGUGACCUGUAGUACACAUCCACAACAAUGUCACCUAUGUUAGCACUCCCCUUAAUUCUUACCCACAAAUUCUACACUUGUUCCACCCAAGUGGAGCUCAAUACAUUCUAAUUGCUUUCUUGCAUGAACAGCAACUCCACCACUUCAUCUUGCCAGCUGGUCUUUCCUUAAGAGGACAUAGCCAUCCAUGACAGCAUUCCAGUCAUGUGAGCUGUCCCACCAUGUCUCCAUGGCUGCAAUGAAAUCAUGGCCCUGUGAUCACACACAGAUAUAUAGUUCUUCCUGUUUAUUUCCCAUGCUGUGUACAUUGGCAUAUGGGCACUUUAGGGAAGCAGAGGGUGCAGAUAUCUCUAGAGGAGUGCUGAGGGUUUAAGCUGAGCUAUUGGCAAAGGAAACUUGUUAACCUAAGUUAAAUAAUUAAAAAAGGAAGUAUCUGAGAGGUAGGCCUGAGAAGUACUGAUAAUUGCUGUCAUACCUUACAAGAAUAUUAAAAAUCAUUUGUCUGUUCCUCUUCCCACUUUAUACUACAUCAUUCACUCAAAUUUGCAUGAUGUUUUCAAUUGCUUCAUGUUGAAUAUCAGAUUAAGAAGUAUCACAUAUUCAGUAUAAUUUCUUAUCCCUUCCUGGGUGCAUCUUCAUGUUUACUGUCAUUCACACUGGAAAUUCCCAGUAAAUACAAAAAAUGUGAGAAUACCAUGAAUGUAAGUCACUGAAAGUGGUAUCUCCUGUUUACUUCCAUGGAAAACAAAACAGAUACAAAGAGCACAAUAACGCUAUUUGAUAGAGCAAAUUCUAAGCCACAAACUACUAUUUUUCAACAUGAUUACCUUUACUUUUGCCAGCAGCGAACAAGAGUUUCCAUGCCACGUUCAUAAAAUCUGCUCCAUUGGAGGCGACCUACUGCUGCUAUCACCAUUGCUGAAACACAUCACCCACCACCUCACUGCUCACAUACACUGUUUGGUCUCCAUAAGCAUUCAGCAAGUAUUGAUGAAUGUCAGUAGGUACAAUUAUUUUUGAAUGGAGGAAAUCAAUGACACACCUUUGCUUCAUAACACCCUACAGUAUUUUAUCAGACUGCCCCUCUAACGCCAUCCAGCACACAGCAACAAAAUAUAGAGUAUUGGUGGGAAGGUUCAGCCUCUACUGCUAUACAACCAACAUUCCAUGUCUGCCAUUGCAGGCCAAUGUAAUAAAAUAUGAUGCAUCACUUUUGGAGCAGCCAUCAUGCCAUGAGUAUUUUGGCUUUCAUAUAUUGUAACUGAUAUAAUAUGUUCAACUUUUCUUAAUAUAAUAGUUUAGAGUCUUAUUUUUAUUUACUAUUUUCUUUCUUGUUCCUAAGAAAGUCUUUGAAUGUUGCAACUCUCAUUAUCUAGUCUUGCUGGGAAAACCAUAAAAAAGUCAAAGCACCUAUAUAUGUAGAAAAUAUAAUAUGAAGCAAAUCAAGAAUGAAAGAUAAAGAAUUAACUCAGAAAACAAUGAGAUUUGUAUUUAAAAAAAUACAUAACUUUGACUUUUUAUUAUUAUUCACAUAUAUUCUGCCUACAAGUUCUAAACUCUUAGAAAUACUGCAGUUGAUAAUCACACAGAGCAUUCCAAAAGCACCAAUAAAUUCAGUGAAAUACUCAUGAUGGUGACCUUAUGUUAUUAGUGUUACCUCAAAAAAGUCUCAAUAUAUGUAGCUGACAGCUGUACAUGUGCAUUUUGCUUCGGUAUAUCAGAUUUUUGUGCAGAUGAAGAUUGUGUUAUGACUGUCUCUUUCAUAGGUGAUAACAGUUCUGUUUCUCUUUGAGAGGUGCAAAACACAAUUGCUCCUAUGUGAUCCACAGACCUUAUGGAUGUGGAGGGUGAAAUAUUACUUAGGACAACUGUGUAGAUGCAACAAACUAUCAGCAUUGCAUAAACCAUUCUCCAUAUUUUGUCAUUUGACAGUUUCUGAUUUAUGCUGUUUCUCCAUCCAUCUGAAGUAGGUGUUUUUGUGCUUGUGUCAUGACUCUGUGUGAGUCCAGUUUCCUUCAGACAUACUUCUGGUUCCUGGCGUUACUCUUUCACCACACAGACUGUACGGAGUGCAUUUCAAAAGCUACCCUACCAAAUAAAAUAAUGGCUAUUUCUAGAAAUGUUGGUAGACCAAACUCUUUCUGUAGGCAGUCUUAGGCCAGUUGUAAAUAUCUAUAUUUAAAAAUACAAGCAUAACUCUAGAUUCCAGAGCAGCAGAAGUAUCUCAUUGAAUCAACUCCGUCUGUUUUUAGGCAUACUUUCAUGAUUCACAAAAUGAAGUCUUAUCUAUUACUUUCUACAGACCUUGUUCUUCUUCUUGUUUUCCUUUAAAGAAGAAAAGAUGCAAAAGCGGUGGUACCUACAUGUAGAAUUCUGAAAAUAAUGGAAAUUAAGAUAAUAAAUCUCUCCUAACAAGAACAUAUAUGAUGUUUCUGCUUCUUAGAGAUAAGUCAGGUGUUUGGAAAGCUUCUUGCAAUCACUGAGUGUAGUGCUUUAGAAGUCUUGUCUGUUGAGUGAGAAAAAAGAACAAAUAGAAGGCAGGUCUUUCUUAUAUAAGGGUUUCUAACACUCAGUAUUCAUCAAAGCCUCUAUCCUGUCCAACCCUUUUACAAUGAUCUCACUUUCAUGAGAAGAAACAAGUGUUUGUUAAAGUAUUACGUCUCCUGCUAUAUAUCAAGGGUUUGUGACAAAGCCCGAACAAGUGACCAAGACACAUCUUUUAUACAUUUUCAGUCCUAAAGAAGAGACUGGACUGGGGCUUUCUUAGAGUCAUAUUCCUUGUAUCCACAAACAAGUAACGAUGUUGCAUAAAUUAGGGACUGCAUCUACCCUUUCUAAGAGAGGAAAGGAGAUGUUUUCUGUGUAAUAAAUCGGCUGCAAGACUAACUAAAUGCAUUUUGUAGUACUUUUUAUGGAGCAAGUGCAAUAUUUUUUACAGAUAAAGCAUAGCCAAGAGCAAAGGUUGAUGAUGGCUAUAUAAUUAAAGGCAUUCAAACUGUGCAAGUUGUCUGCCAACAAACGCUUUGCAAUGAAAAAGGCUCCAUAUUCAGCAACUGCUUUAAAAAUACUGUUCAAGCAUGGAUUUCCUUAAACUACCACUUGUCUGGCAAUGGCUUCCUCACCUGUGUAAUAAGAUUAAGAGAUCUACUUGAAAGCCAGAAAAGCUUUGCAAGUCAAGUGGAUAUUUGCAUAUUUUACAUUGCCAAAUACCUAAAGGAGAGAAACGUUUUCUGAAAGAUGAGGAAAACGUACAGAACACUAGAACUAGCACAAGGUUUUUAGACUCAAAGCAGCCCAAGUUCCUGAUUUUUGCCAGCUCUGCCAGCAUUGUUAAGUUAGUAAAAAAUAAAAAUAAAAAUCUGUUUGCAAUGACUACAUGAACUUUACAAACUAGUAAAUAGUUAAUAUUUAAUCUUAAAUGUACUUCGGGUUUUAAAUCAAGAGAAACUAUUUCAGUGUCUCAGGUGUCAGAUGGGGUAGCUAAUGAAGUGCUUUCUUGAGUGAUUUCUGUCACAAGCCUGCAUUCUGCAAAAUAGACCUUGGAAGAUUACAGAUACAUCAGAGGUAUCUGUAGAUACCUUUCAAGAAUAAAAAUAACAAAAUAACCUUACUGUAGUGUUUUGUGACAUUUAUUUUCUUUGAAUAGCAAAAUACACUCUAUAUCAGUUUCAAAAAUAAAAUAAAUUUUAAAAAGUGUCAAUUUUCUUAAUGUGAUUUGCUUUAUUUUGCUAGCAUGAGAUUACUGAAAUCAGUUGGAAUACCUGAAUACAUUAAAAAUAGGGGAAAUGCAAUGUGUUAUGGGCAAAAAGUUCUAUAUUGAAUAGAAAAUUAUGGUAAGUCACAAAUAUUUCUGCUUAGUCUUAUACUAAGUACAGGCAAACAGUAAGCUUUCUCUUUUAAGUCCUGCCAGUUCAGGCCAGUAGUGACCCACAGUAUACUUUUCCUGUCCAGAAUUUCUCUUGAGAAAAGCUUGCCAAUCACACAAAAUUACUUGGUGCUUUGGGGAUCUGGACAUAUACAGAUAAGGGAAUCAACUACCAAACUUAUUUGAUGUGUAUCAUAAAUCAGAAGUGAACGUUAGUCUCCCAAGGGAACAAAAAAAAAUGGCCUACUGUAUUAAAAUACUUUGAUACCUUUGAUGUUCAAUGUUUAGAGCAUGAACUAUUUUCUAAACAUCUUUGAACUGAAGCUGAAAGAUACACUACUGAAAUCUACUCUUGCCUUCCUGCCUGCUUUUUUUUUUUUUUUUUUUUAACCAGCAAGGAGCAUCAAUUCCAUCUUAGACACAGAUAUGUGAUCAUUUGGCAAUGCUCUAAAAUUCUAAUUUAAAAUUGUUAUUUUCUUCUGUGCACAGGAAGACAUUUUUUGGUGGUUUUCUUUCAGGGGAGUGAAUGGUUUUUAGUUUUUCACCAAUUGAUAUCAUGAGAGAGAAUGAAAGACUGUGUAUACAUAAGCCACUGAAUAAUCAGUGAACCCAUUUAAGAGAGAUACCUACUGAGGUCAAUGAAAUUGGCAAUCUAAUGAACAAUCUAAUAGUAUUGUUACAAGUUUUAUGGUUUCUGUUUGUAAUUAACUUUAUGUGACAUUUAUUAUAAAAAGAUCAAAAAUUAUUAGUAGCAAUUACAUUUAAUGCAGCCAUGCAAUUGCACUUAUAUACUUAUUCAACUUUUAUUUUCAUUGACUCCCUGCUUCCUAAGUUAAUGCCUCUCUAUGUAUCAAACAACUUCAAUGUUUAUGAACUUUGGCCAAUAUGAGUAGAAAGUCUUUGUUUUCAUAAUGAUUUAUUUGAAUUCAGUUCUGUGGAUUUUAUCUGGAUACAUUUCUUGCUAUAUGAGAGAAAUCUCUUGAACAAAAGGAAGAAAAAGUAAUCCUUUAUAUUGUACUCAGUUCAUAGUUUCUUUGAAGUGAUGCUGAUAAAGGCAGUUUUGUGUUUUUCAGAAUGGAUUACUAACACAGUAAUAAUCAAAGAGCUGAUUUGUGUCAGUUGUACCACAUAGGGAAGACCCUCUAACUAGAUAUUUUAGAUGUUGAUAGCAUUUAUGAUUGAGUUUUGUAUAUACUUUGUUACAGAUGUGCAUAACUGUCAAAACCCAGGUUUUGUGAAAUGCUAAAAUGAACACACAGACACUGAAAAUAUGAAAAAGUUACAAUUAUGUUAUUCACCACUGAGUUUACAAAAACAGCACAGGUGUCAUUGCCACAGCAAGUCCAUAGAGUUAGUCUGUAUGUUCCACUGCCUCGUCCUGUAGCCCUGAAGUCACAGGUGCCACUGUCAGGCUGAAACCUCCUUUCAGAUGCUCUCUGUCUGGAAGCUUCAAAUCUACUGGAGAAUUCAAAUAGAUGCGAAAAGUCUUUGCAUUUUCUCUACUCAUAUUCACACUGUUCCUUGCCAGUGCUGUCAUAGCCAUGGACUCUACAGGAACAUAAGCAAAAGUCAUUCCAUAUCAGGGAAAAGCAUGUGAUACAGUCACAACAGCCCCUUGUAAUACAAUAAGCAUAGGGCAAAGUGGCUGGAAAGCUCCAUACUGGAGAAGGAUUUGGGGGGUUAGUUGACAGCCAGCUACACAUGAGCCAGCAGUAAGCCCAGAUGUCCAAGAAGGCAUCCUGGGUUAUAUCAGAAAUAUUGUCUGCCCAGGGAAGUGGUGGAUUCACCAUCCCUGGAUGUUUUCAAGGAAAGGGUAGAUAUGACACUUAGGGACAUGGUUUGUGGGCAUGGUGGUGAUGAAUCAGUGGUUGAAUUAGAUAAUGUUAGUGGUCUUUUUCCACCUUAAUGAUUCUCUGAUCCUAUGAUCAUUAAAUAGGGAAGAUAUCUGAAUAAUAGUUCCAAGGAGGCGUAUAGCAGUUUCAGGGAGAAAACUUAUUGACAGACUGGAACAUUUUGAAAUUUCCAAAUUAAAAUUUCUGAACAAUUAUUUUAUCUGUGCAAAAAUCAUAUUUGGAUAUUUUACAACAAUCUGUGGGGAGGGCUACUGUUACUUUUGAUAAUAAUUCAUUGGUGCUUUUAUUGUUUCUUGGCUGACUUUCAACAUGUAGCUCCUACAAUGCAAGGGAAGGUAGACACGGUUUCUGUUACUACACUGAUGGAAUAUUGAAACCUGAAUUGAAGUGCAUUAGCUGAAGUCAGACAAGGUUGUGGUAGCGAUCACUAGGGAAAUUAGAAAACCUUGAAAAACUUUGAAGACAUUUUUUGCUAGGGCACCUAUGUAUUAAAAAACUGUGUCUCUCAGUUAUGAUAAAAUUGUAUUACAUAACCUGAGUGAUCUCAGGAGUUAGUAAGUGACUGAUUUUCUGUUCCCUUGGUAAGCAAUAAUUCAUGCAAACAGAUUGACUGAAGUUUUACCGUGCUAGUGUAAAGAGAAAACAGUGAAAUAUUGUUUGAGAUGUUUUUACAAGUGAAAAUGACAGCAUAUGAAGAAAUAUGUUAUAAAACAGGACAGUAUUAAAAAAGUAAAGAAAGCUAAGCUCAGUCUUUUGAAGAAAAAUAUUAAAGAAGUUGGUAGGAAAAAAAAGAACUCGUUUCAUGUACAUAGAGAGAAAACAGGCAUUAAUAACCUGCAUGUGCACAGAUCAGCAAAUUUAUGAAGAUAUGUAUGAACAGAGAACACGACUUCAAAGCCAUUUGUAAUUACAGAAUGGUUUAUAUUUAAUCCUAAAUGUAUGGAAGGGGAUAAUGAGCUGGGAAAAAAUGAAGGCAUAUCGAACUAUUCUAGCAAAAACAAGGGAAUUUUUGCCAUUUUGUGUACUUUCUAUAGGCUAGAGGGACAAAUUUGUGUAUAGUAGAGUUCCUAUGAAAUUCAGGGUUCUGAUUUGACACAUGAAGUGAAAACAUCUUGGAUGCUUUAAUUUUACUGUGAAAAACCAGCAUAUGAUAUCAUGCACAUUAUAUAUGCAUAUAAAUGAUAUUAUUUUAUGGGUUUUAUGAUCUUUGUUACUGGUAUUCCACAUCAUAAUAUCAUGUAAAGCAUUGGGAGUUAAAAGUUGAGAACAAUUAAUUCUGUUAUUUUUUAUGUAGCAGCUAAUCACAAGGCAAAAUGCUUCCUUUGAUAGGAUCUGAGAAACUGAAAAGCUUGUCUCAGAGAAGUAUUCAUCUCAGCUAAUUUUAAACACUUAUAACAUGGAAGUCUGCAUCUGAGCUAAUGGCCUUAGGCACAUAUGACCUUUCCCUGGUCCACCAUAGAUGAGAUGAGAAGAAAUCUGAAUCUAAAUCCAAAAGAGCAUUUGAAUGUGGAAGUAAAAGCCUGCAUUGUGAAGCCUGAGAGAGAAAUUUGCCCAUGCUUAAUGGUAUUAAUAAAGUUCUGGGGAAGUAGAAUUGAAAAAUUCAGAAGCUUUUUUUUUUCUUUUUUCUUUUUAAUAUCUUGAUGUCUAAGAAUAAAUAAUAAUCCUUUUUCUUUGUAUUCACUUAAAACCGUAAGUUUGCCAAGACAAUUAUUUUCUUGUUUUCCAUAGUUAAUAUUCUGCAAAGUCUUCAAUAAGGAGGUUUCACAGAUGAUUUAAGAACACUUUGAAAGUAUAAUGUACUUCUGUGAAAUGUGGAGGCUGCGAUGAAAUAUUUAAACAUCAAUGGAUUGAGAUGGAAAAUACCUAAUGGCUUUCCUUGCGGAAUCAUGCAUUGAAUAUUUUGGAUUCAUUUUAAAUCUUAGGGGAUCCACCUAACAGUUUAAUUGCUGAGAAAAAAAAUGCUGCAAUUGACAUCUAAACCAAAUUGCUUUAACCAAGUCCUGAAUUAAAAAUAUUUGUGUUUUUAUUACAGAAUAUGAAUUUCAAUAUAUCCGUAAUGGCAGAAUCCCCCAAAAAGCUAUUAACUGAGAUAACUGGCUGAGGAAAUCAACCCACUAAGCAAUUUUGUGAAAAUUAAAAUUCAUUUUCCACACAUUGUAGUGUACUGGUUCAGUAUAGCACCAGUUCAGUAUAGCACCUUUUUCUGUGAUAUUUCCCAUUUGUUAAAAUAGGAGUAGUAGUCAUCCUGUUUCUACCAGUUUAAGAGCCUUAAUAUCAGCAAAGCAAGAGUGCUGAGGAUUUGACAGACACGCUUAGGUCAUUAUUUCAUAGUGCAAAUAUUUUUUAAGUAUGUACAAGGUAAAACCAAAUGAAACAAAUCCAUUAAGCAUCAUUUUUUAUAGCUUUUCUUCCUAUUCCUUGGAAACCUCUGGGGACAGUGAUUCCACCACCUCCCUAGGCAGCCUGUUCCAAUACUUCAUCAGUCCAAGAACUUUUUCCUGAUAUCCAACCUGUUCAGCUAUCCCCCAGUUCAACUCAAAGCCGUUACCUCUUAUACUACUACUGUUACAUGUGAGAAGAGACCAGCCUCCAUCUUGCUACUUCUUCCUCUCAGACUAUUACAGAGCUGUAAGAUCUUUCCUGAGCCUCCCCCUCUCCAGACUAAACAAUCCCAGUUCCAUCAGCUGCUCCCCACAGGACUUUUGUUCCAGACCUUCCAGCAGCUUCUUUGCCCUUCUUAGGAUAUGGUCCAGGGCCUCAGUGUCUUUCUUGUAGUGAGGGGUUCAAAACUGAACGCUGUAUUUGAGGUAUGGCCUCACCAGUGCUGUGUACACGGCAAUGAUCGAUCUCAUGCCUAGUUCUGCUGACUACACUCUUUCUGAUACAAGCCAGAAUGCUAGUGUUCUUGGCUACCUGAGCACACUGUUGAGUCAUGUUCAGCUGAGCACUGGCCAAGAAUCCCAGGUCAUUUUCCACCAAGCAGGUUUCCAGCCACUCUACCCCAAGCCUGUAAUGUUGCACGUGGUUGUUGUGACCAAAGUGCAGGAUUCAGUACUUGGUCUUGUUGAAGCUCAUGCAAUUUGCCUCAGUCCAUCAAUCUAGACUGUCCAGAUACCAACGUAGAACUUUUCUACUCUCAGACAUGGUUUCAUCUGAAGAUUUACUGAUGGCCCACUUAAUCACCUUGUCCAGAUCAUCAAUGAAGAUAUUAAACAGGACCAGCACUAAUACUGACCCCUGGAGAACACCAUUUGUGACUGGUCACCAGCCAGAUUUAACUCCAUUCACCACCACACUCUGGGUCCAGCCCUCCAGCCGGUUCUCUACCCAGUGAAGACUGUACCUGUUCAAGCCAUGGACUGCCAUCUUUUCCAGGAGAAUGCUGUGGGACACAAUGUCAAAGGCUUUAUUCAUGUCUAGGUGGACUACAUCCAUAGCUUUUCCCUCAUCUACUAGGGAAUUUUUGUAGUCAUGAUCCAAAUUUUCAGAAGGUAUCUCUGUAUCCUGAUGAAGAGAUCUUUUAAAUGGCUCAUUGAAGGAGACUCAGAUUGCCUAGAAACUGAUGCGCAUUAUGGUUCCACACCCUUACUCAUAAUUUUUAUAAUUAAUAAAAAUUCAGAGAGAAACUCCUUCCAUUUUAAAUUUGCCCAUAGCACUCCUGUGCUAGAGUUUAGAAUUCUCGACUCUGAAGAUAAACGGAAAAUUAUUUUUUCUAAUUGUAUCCAGGAGCUUUUAUGUAGCAUAUUUUAAAAUGUCACAAAAUAAUGAAGUUUAGAUAAGCCAUUAAGGAAAAAACAUGUUUUUCAACUGAGUAAAGAUGCCAGCAAUUCAAACAAUAGUGCUGCAUUUGUCAGAUAAUUAGCCAAUGAUUGUCUUUUGAACUCUGAAAAUAAAUUUAGAAGGAGCAGAUAUGCUGUGCUGUAAAAUGUGAGAGCUUUCAGAGUUUUUUUUUUUUCUUCUUUUUAAGACUUUUGCUUAAAGAUUUUUUUUGAAGUGUUUUCUAACUAAGUACUUGAAUUAUGUACACAUGAAUAGCCUUUAAGGAAAUCAUACAGGUCUCUUCAACUAUAUGCUAUACAGAUUUUAAUUUUACAGAUUUUUAUUAUUUUAGUUCCACUAAAUGCUUUUAGUUAAGGUUGACCAAAAUUUUCCCCUUUGAGACCAGUUUUUAAAUUCCUUGUAAUUGCCAUAUUUAAACUGUUCAUGCUGUUGUGCCCCAUGCCAUAUGUCUACUCUGGGAUGAAUCGGUUUGGAAAAUUCCAUAAAAAUGGUUCAGUAGUUUUGCAGUAUUGACAAAAAUGCUUUUUUUUCCCCCCAUAACUAAUAUAUUAUGCUGAAGCAGUUAACUUGAAUACUGUUGUUAUUUCCUAAUGAACCUCUGUUUAUGUUGUAUUGAUGUCCUGUAGAAAUGAGUCCAAAUGAAACUUCUGAUAAAAUCUUAGUAACUUGUGGGAAUACAAGAAAAACUGUUCAGAGGAGCAGCUGUGGAGCAAGAUAAACAGCAGUAAGCAAAAGAGCAAAACAAACAAAAAUUGAUCUCUCCUCCCAGCUAUUCAUUUUACUAGGGAUCAAACUCUAUGGUCAAGUAAAAGUUUUUGAUGAACGUUACUUUAGAAUAAAUAUAUCUAAUUAAUUGAAUAGUACUUAAAACGUCAUUUCAACUCUACACAUUUAUUUUUUAGGUGCAAAUCUUUCCCAAGAAUAUUCACAGAACAGAGAAUCAGGCGUAAAACCUAUCUACAUUUACACACUACUUUUUGACAGCAACAUCUUAAAUGUACUAUACUAUUCUGACAUUUUUAAGAGAACUUUUAAGAGAAAAUACUUAUGAGUAUCUGCAGUUCAAAUUUAUGCUAUUCUUUCUUUAUGGUAACUCACAAUAUUGUACACUAACUAUCAAAAGAAAGAAAUUUGUGAUUCCCCUGCAAUAUUUGCCUUUGGAUAAAAGAGGAAAAAAAAUCUAAUGCCUUCACAGACUGUAAUAAGUCUAAAAUUCACAAACUAAACCUCUAGUUCUAAUAACAUGGAAAACAUGCUUAACUCUGGUCACUCAAAUACUUCAGGGUAAGUCCACCUUCAUCUGUUGAAUACUCUUGCAUCCUCAGCACAGUAGCCAGGAAAAUUGACUGUGUGACAUAUCCAAGGUUUUUUUUUGUUUUGUUUUUACCAUGGAAGCCACUCUGUGUUCAUGUGCCUGCUUAUCCUACUGCUUGUUGUUGGUUUAGCCUGGCAGGCAGCUCAGCACUACACAGCCGCUCAUUCUGUUUCUGCCACACUCUUCCUCGCAGUGGGAUGAAUGAAAGAAGUGGAAAAAAGGGUAAAACUCGUGGGUUGAUAUAAUUGCAGUUUAUAAAACAGGAAAGCAAGGGAAAAUAAUGAUAUUGGUCUUAGAAGCCGCUAUUUCCCCUCUCCCUACCCCCCUUCUGGACAACUCCCCCAGUUUUAUUGUUCCCUAUAAUGCCAGAUGGCAUGGGAUAUCUCUUUGGCUAGUUUGGGUCUGUUGUCCUGAUUCUGUCCCUCCCCCCAGCUUCUUGUGCACCCUCAGCUCCUCACUGGCAGAGCAAUACAAGAAGCAGAAAAAACCUCAGUGCUGUGCAAGCAUUGCUAUGCAACAGAUAAAUAAUCGGUGUGCUGUCAACAUUAUUGUCAUCUGUCUCGAUCCAAUUUAUCGAAGAGAGAGG